UCCUGCGGAGCUGCCUGCUGCACGCACCCUCUAGACCUGCUCAAGGUGCAUUUGCAGACCCAACAGGAGGUGAAGCUUCGAAUGACUGGAAUGGCACUGCAGGUGGUGCGAACCGAUGGCUUCCUGGCACUCUACAAUGGCCUGAGUGCCUCGCUGUGCAGGCAGGUGCGUGCCUACGUCUUGGUUCUCUGGCAGAGUUCCUAAAAUGAAAAGUUUUUUUUCUCUCUUGUUGAUGUCAGUUUCCUAGGUCUUGGAACCAGCCCCUCAGGGGCUGUCUCUGGGGCUCAGUCCUGUGAAGGAGCCUUAGGGAGCUUCAGCAACUUUCUCUUCCCCCUUCAGAUUUAUCACAGAUGAGACAAAGGGUGGGUGCGCGGCAGGGGGCUGCCUUCCAGUUUCAUGAGGGAAAACUGAGGCUGAAAACAACUGGGAACAGCUCCUCUGGGUUUGUGAAUCGGCUUGGCUAUUUGCAAGCUCAGUGGCUUUAGAAUGGACACUGGGUGUCCCCAUGGUCCAUGGGAUGAUGACAGGGCCGGGUGGAGUGCCCAGUCCUCUGAGCCAGGCCCCCUCCCCAGAUGACCUACUCCCUGACCCGGUUCGCUAUCUACGAGACCAUGCGGGACUACAUGACCAAGGACAGCCAGGGGCCUCUCCCCUUCUACAGCAAGGUGUUGCUGGGCGGCAUCAGUGGUGAGCACUGGGUAGUCAGG
rnacentral:lncRNA from 1 species